AGACCAUUGGCAGCCCUCCUACUCGUGACAUCUCGGAGAGAGGUAGCUUGCUACUGAUCUUAGCGGCGGACGGGUGAGUAAUGCUUAGGAAUCUGCCUAUUAGUGGGGGACAACAUUUCGAAAGGAAUGCUAAUACCGCAUACGUCCUACGGGAGAAAGCAGGGGAUCUUCGGACCUUGCGCUAAUAGAUGAGCCUAAGUCGGAUUAGCUAGUUGGUGGGGUAAAGGCCUACCAAGGCGACGAUCUGUAGCGGGUCUGAGAGGAUGAUCCGCCACACUGGGACUGAGACACGGCCCAGACUCCUACGGGAGGCAGCAGUGGGGAAUAUUGGACAAUGGGCGCAAGCCUGAUCCAGCCAUGCCGCGUGUGUGAAGAAGGCCUUAUGGUUGUAAAGCACUUUAAGCGAGGAGGAGGCUACUUUAGUUAAUACCUAGAGAUAGUGGACGUUACUCGCAGAAUAAGCACCGGCUAACUCUGUGCCAGCAGCCGCGGUAAUACAGAGGGUGCAAGCGUUAAUCGGAUUUACUGGGCGUAAAGCGCGCGUAGGCGGCUAAUUAAGUCAAAUGUGAAAUCCCCGAGCUUAACUUGGGAAUUGCAUUCGAUACUGGUUAGCUAGAGUGUGGGAGAGGAUGGUAGAAUUCCAGGUGUAGCGGUGAAAUGCGUAGAGAUCUGGAGGAAUACCGAUGGCGAAGGCAGCCAUCUGGCCUAACACUGACGCUGAGGUGCGAAAGCAUGGGGAGCAAACAGGAUUAGAUACCCUGGUAGUCCAUGCCGUAAACGAUGUCUACUAGCCGUUGGGGCCUUUGAGGCUUUAGUGGCGCAGCUAACGCGAUAAGUAGACCGCCUGGGGAGUACGGUCGCAAGACUAAAACUCAAAUGAAUUGACGGGGGCCCGCACAAGCGGUGGAGCAUGUGGUUUAAUUCGAUGCAACGCGAAGAACCUUACCUGGCCUUGACAUAGUAAGAACUUUCCAGAGAUGGAUUGGUGCCUUCGGGAACUUACAUACAGGUGCUGCAUGGCUGUCGUCAGCUCGUGUCGUGAGAUGUUGGGUUAAGUCCCGCAACGAGCGCAACCCUUUUCCUUAUUUGCCAGCGAGUAAUGUCGGGAACUUUAAGGAUACUGCCAGUGACAAACUGGAGGAAGGCGGGGACGACGUCAAGUCAUCAUGGCCCUUACGGCCAGGGCUACACACGUGCUACAAUGGUCGGUACAAAGGGUUGCUACCUAGCGAUAGGAUGCUAAUCUCAAAAAGCCGAUCGUAGUCCGGAUUGGAGUCUGCAACUCGACUCCAUGAAGUCGGAAUCGCUAGUAAUCGCGGAUCAGAAUGCCGCGGUGAAUACGUUCCCGGGCCUUGUACACACCGCCCGUCACACCAUGGGAGUUUGUUGCACCAGAAGUAGCUAGCCUAACUGCAAAGAGGGCGGUUACCACGGUG
rnacentral:rRNA from 1 species